GAUGAACGCUGGCGGCGUGCUUAACACAUGCAAGUCGAACGAUGAAGCCCAGCUUGCUGGGUGGAUUAGUGGCGAACGGGUGAGUAACACGUGAGUAACCUGCCCUUGACUCUGGGAUAAGCCCGGGAAACUGGGUCUAAUACCGGAUAGGAGCGCCUGUCGCAUGACGGGUGUUGGAAAGAUUUUUCGGUCAUGGAUGGACUCGCGGCCUAUCAGCUUGUUGGUGAGGUAAUGGCUCACCAAGGCGACGACGGGUAGCCGGCCUGAGAGGGUGACCGGCCACACUGGGACUGAGACACGGCCCAGACUCCUACGGGAGGCAGCAGUGGGGAAUAUUGCACAAUGGGCGGAAGCCUGAUGCAGCGACGCCGCGUGAGGGAUGACGGCCUUCGGGUUGUAAACCUCUUUCAGUAGGGAAGAAGCGAAAG
rnacentral:rRNA from 1 species